UACAUGUGGGGCAAGCGUUGUUCGGAAUUACUGGGCAUAAAGGGUGCGUAGGUGGUUUGUUAAGUCAGGGGUGAAAUCCCGCGGCCCAACCGUGGAACUGCCUUUGAUACUGGCGAACUUGAGUGCGUGAGGGGUAGGGGGAACGAGCAGUGUAGCGGUGAAAUGCGCAGAGAUCGGGAGGAACACCCGUAGCGAAGGCGGCACUCUGGGCCGGUACUGACGCUGAGGAGCGAAAGCGUGGGGAGCAAACAGG
rnacentral:rRNA from 1 species